rnacentral:rRNA from 1 species
GACGAACGCUGGCGGCGUGCUUAACACAUGCAAGUCGAGCGGUAAGGCCCUUUCGGGGUACACGAGCGGCGAACGGGUGAGUAACACGUGGGUGACCUGCCCUCAGCUCUGGGAGUAAGCCUCGGGAAACGUAGGUCGUAAUACUGGAUAUGACUCCACGGUGCAUGUCGUGGGUGGAAAGCCUUGUGCGGCUGAGGAUGGGCCCGCGGCCUAUCAGCUUGUUGGUGGGGGUG